AAUGAACGUUGGCGGUGCGCCUAACACAUGCAAGUCGAACGGUGAAGCAGGAGCUUGCUCCUGUGGAUCAGUGGCGAACGGGUGAGUAACACGUGAGCAAUCUGCCCUGGACUCUGGGAUAAGCGUUGGAAACGACGUCUAAUACCGGAUACGAGGCGUGGGGGCAUCCCCAACGCCUGGAAAGAACUUCGGUCCAGGAUGAGCUCGCGGCCUAUCAGGUAGUUGGUGAGGUAACGGCUCACCAAGCCUACGACGGGUAGCCGGCCUGAGAGGGUGACCGGCCACACUGGGACUGAGACACGGCCCAGACUCCUACGGGAGGCAGCAGUGGGGAAUAUUGCACAAUGGGCGCAAGCCUGAUGCAGCAACGCCGCGUGAGGGACGACGGCCUUCGGGUUGUAAACCUCUUUUAGUAGGGAAGAAGCGAAAGUGACGGUACCUGCAGAAAAAGCACCGGCUAACUACGUGCCAGCAGCCGCCGUAAUAC
rnacentral:rRNA from 1 species